CCUGAGUAGCUGGGAUUACAGGCACCCAUCACUACGCCUGGCUAAUUUUUGGUAUUUUUAGUAGAGACAGGGGUUUCCCCAUGUUGGCCAGGCUGGUCUCAAACUCCUGACCUCAGGUGAUCCGCCCAUCUCGGCCUCCCAGAGUGCUGGGAUUACAGUCGUGUGCCACCAGGGCCAGCCUCACUUAGUUUUUAUUGAGUGAGAGAAAGCAUCCCAGGCACCAGGGAUGCUGUGGUUACAAAGCUCCUUAUGGACUUUAUGAUCAACUAGUGGAGGCAGACAGUUGAACUAAUGAGCAGGCAGAUAAAUAAAUACGGGAUUGUACAGGAUGUGGUGAGUGAUCUCCAGGCUGUUACAGAAGCCAAUAAGAGGGUGGUCAGGGAAGUCACCAGAAUGUAUCAUUGAAACUGAAGUUUCCUGAAGCUUUUCUGCUUCCUUAUCCAGGUGGUCUUUGUCUUGUUUUGUUAAGUGAGUCAUAUAUGGGUUCCAUAAAUAUAUCUUAGACAGCUUCUAUGUUUUAGGCAGACUGCUAGGUCCUGGGGCUAUAAAGAUGAUUAAGACUGUGAAGUUGACUGCCAGCAUUGAGUCGUAGUCAGUGCUUAUGCUACUGCUUACCACCAACUAGCCAGUGACUUUGGGCAAAUGAAUGAAUUUCUUUAAAGCUCAGUGUAUGCAUCUAUAUAAUGGGAAUAAUGAUAGAAUCUAGCUAUAGACUACUGUAAGAAUUUAUAUAAAUAUUUUAAGUUUAAUGCAUGCAGAGUUACAUAAAGAAUGAAAAUAUUAGCAAUCAUCAAUAUUGUAUAAUAAGUGUAAGAAACAUCAAGGGCUUAGCACAGUGGUUAGUGCAAUAGAAAGCACUGAAUGUGGCCCCUGGUUGCCACUGUUAGUCUUUCAAGAACUCAUGGUCUAUUGUGGGGGACAAAUGUGCUUGUACAAAUAGAUAAAUAGUAACAAAAGGAUAGAACACCUAGGGAUAGAUUCGGGACAGCCUUGGAAAGGAAAUGACUCUUGAAUUGAGUUUAGGAAUUUACCAGACUCCCCAAUGGAAAAGCAGAGAGAGAGAGAGAAAGAAAAAAAGGAAGUAACGAGUCAGGGGGCAGGAACAUUCAUUCUUCACGGAGAAAACAGCCAGGGCAAGGCCAGGGGUGCUAUGGGAAUACCAGCGAUUCUCAUCUGCAUUUUCAGGCAUUAAGAUAACUCAGCACUAGGGCAGCAAAUUGAACAAAUGAUUUCCAUUGACACAGAAGCCAGAGGUGGGCACAGCUGGAGUGUGUGUGUGUAAGUGGACAAACACGGCCCCCUCUGGCUCUCAGGAAAAUGAGUUUACUUCUGCGUCGACAUGAAGCCACGCAGCUGGUUUGACUGAAUUUUUCACUGCGUUAAUGAUGUUUGGAUAUCAGAAAGAAACAACCUAAAAGAGACGAAUGGGCAGUCUUUUCUCCCUGCGUUAUCUCAGGAGCUAUCUCUGCAGCGGGCGGCUCAAUGGAAGUGCUGUCUGGGAGAGGUCCUGGGUUGAGACUGGGAAGCUCCGUACAUUUCGCGUAAAGAGAAGCCAGAAGAACACAGUGGCUAAACUGUGAAUAAAGCCAACUGUGGGUAUCUGGGUCAGAUUAAAUCACAAGGGCAAAAAAAGAGAUGAUCCAGGUGGGUCUUACAGAAUCACAGGAGCCCUUUAAAAGCAGAGGAUUUUCUCCAGCUGGUCGAGAAGAGGAAGUUAGAGGAAGUCAAAGCAUGAGAGGAACGGAUGUGUCAUUGCUGGUUUGAAGAGGGAGGAACUAUGGGAUGAGGAAUGCGAGUAGCCUGAAGGAGCUGAGAGAGGCCCCGACAGACAGACAACAUGCGACUGGGGAACUGAGUCCUACAACUACCAGGAGCUAAAUUCUGCCAACCACCUGAAUGAACUUGGAAGCAGAUUCUUCCCCCAAGAGCCUCCUGGUAGGAGCAGUGCUUGGCAAACACCUUAAUUUUGGUCUUAAGCAGGGACUCCAGCUCAUCUUUUGACCUUGGGGACUGCAUGCUAUAAAUGAGUGUUGUUUUAACACUCGAAUAAUUUGUUGUACAAUGACAGAAAACCAAUAUACCCAGGUUGAAUAUAAACUCUGUGAGGCCAGGGAUCUUAUCUGUCUUGGUGAUUACUAUAUCAUUAGUUCCUAGGACAGCCUAGCAGACAUCAGACACUGAAAACAUAUUGAUGAAUUGGACUCACAAGUGAUUGGCUGAUGGACAGCAAGUAUUGGGUGGAAAGCCAAAUAAUAAAAUGAAGGUCCUCCCGCGCCUGGGUAGCUGACCCCUUCCCCUGCUUAUGGCAGUUAACUGUUAGACCAUUGAUACAAUCUGUUACGCAUGCAUCUGUUACAAGAUUACAUUCACCUUCAGGCAGUCUUAGUUUUUCAGCCUUAACUCUCAUAAUUAACUCUCAUAACUUUUGGGAAUCAGUUGGAUCCAUUUUAUUAUGGUAUGUUUGUUGUAAUAGAGAGGACAUUCAAUGUCUUUGUUUUACUUCACUGUUCUACUCCUUAGCUGGCUUGCCUUGGACAAGUUAUACAAGCUUUUGGAACCUCAGUUUUUUCAUCUGAAAAUUAGAGCUUAUGGGAGUCCAUAAGACAGAUAGAAUUAAUAUUUUUUUAAAAAUGGCAUUGACAUUACAGCAUAAAAGCAUUAUAAGUUUCAUUGUUUCCUCUCAAGUACUCAUUAUUCUUCAAACUACCAUGUUGUGAGCUCUAUGAUAGAAAUCAUCUGGAAAUAAAAUAUGCCAUUUUACCAC
rnacentral:lncRNA from 1 species